AUGGUGACUCCUGCUCCUUUGGGAGGCUGGGAUUUCUCCCUGGGGAUCACAUCAGGGAUGAAACCCUACUCAGGUUCCGCUCUCCUGUUCACUUCUCCCUUUUUCUCCAAUCGUCCAUUCACCCUGGUGGUAGACUUUCCUCACUCCUCUUUUUGGCUUUGUUGCUCUUCGGCGGCUCUCGCCCUCAGGGCUUGCAUUGGUGGUUCUUCUGGUGAUCUCCAUGUCUCUCGUCUCUCUGGAAGGUGUUACAGUUUUACAGUUUGUUCUAAGAAAGUUGGCCUUUGGAUCUAUAAUCUUAGAUCCUUCACUUGCAAGGAUUAUGUUGCUCGGUUUUUCCUCUGGAGAGAUGGGGGCCCUAACUGGCAUAAGGAAUAUGAUAUCUGGUUGGCAGCUCAAGAGGCUGAUUGGACAAUUGUUCGUCACAAGAAAAAGUCUAAGAUUGUUUCCAAGACUAUCUCUAGCAGCCGCAAAUCAGUUCCUCAUGCCAACAAUGCUCUAGUGCCUGUAAAAUUGGUGUUCCAUCGGUUGUCUUCUUUCUUCUGGCAAUCACCGGAGGCUGAAUCUUCGCCUCUGUCUGUUAAAGCCUCUUCUGUUAGUAGGCCUAGUUGCCCUAGAUGUCAGAAGCCAGGUCAUCUGGAAUCUAACUCCAUAAAUAGAGUCCACUGUGCAGCUUGCUCUAAACUUGAUCAUCGGGCUUCAGUGUGCUCGACCCAAAAGUCUGAAAAGAAAGUCUGGGUUCGCAAGCCCAAGGCCAAAAAGCCCAUUGGUUCAGUUAUUGCUUCUUCUAGUCGAAGGCCCGCAACUGAUAGUUUGGUUGUUUCGGGGAAGUCGCUGGAGGAAGAGCAUAAUAUUUUAGUUGGCAUCGUUUUGUGCCUUAAUUAUAGGCAGUUGCAGCCUGACGCUUCUUCUUCCUCUCUUCCUCUCGCUCUCCGCCCAACUCCAAUCUAUAGUGCUCCAAAAACCCCAAUGGCCAACAUCAAUCCGGAUCCUACUCCGUUCGUCCCGCCGACGAUGGCGAUCAAUGAUGCUUGGCUUCACUGUCUCCCUCGUGCGGAUUUGAUCAUCAUGGAUGAACCUCCCAAGAAGCAUGAAGGUAUCGCAGUUGCCAUUCUUGAGCCCCCUCCCAAGAAGCAAGAGCAUUUUGUCCUUGUGGUUUACUACGUUCAAAACACUCUGGGUUAUCAUGUGUUGGACACCAGUAGGCAUGCAUCUGAGUUUGCUUUUAUUCACAUUGCCUCGGCUGUGCUUAGAGAUGCUCUAGUAUUGGGAGGGCCAUAUGAUGUCAAUGAACAGAUUACCCUAAGAUUUGUCAACCAUGAUAACACCUCCACUUGCCGCAAUUCCCCUCCAAUUAGAGAGGGUUGGGUGAUGUUCUUAGAUUUCCCUCUAGACCUACAAACCGACAGAAUUGUGGACAAACCAGUUGUGGACCAAGGUUCAGAGGCAGGGUUCUUGCGAAGGUCAUUUACUCCAUGGUUGAGGAGGUCCCUCUCUAAGGUGGUGAUUAAAAAGUACUUAAGCUUUGGAGAUGUCCAGCCUGCAGAUGAGGAUCUGCCACUUGUGAACCACAUUCCCUUGCCAGAACCAUCUCCUAUUCCUCAACAAGCUAAUGUUUGGGGAAAUGCAGAUGAAGACAUAGGUGAGAAUGAUGAAGAAGAACUUUCUCACAAUGUCAGUGCUGUGUCCCAGCAGGACUCAGGGGAAUGGCAAAUUUUCCCUACCCAUCAAGUGGCACCUACUAUUUCUUUGGAUGUUGCAAUGGGGCCACUGGUCAGCCAGACUGAGGAAGUUGUGCCUUCAUUCAUUGUUUACCCUCAGUUUUGGAAACUGCUCAGCAUUUGUAGGACUCUCCUGUGUGGGCCAAGAUUGCUUGGGCCUCAGCCCAUGUCAUCUGAUGUAGUCCCAUACCAGCUACCUGUCCAUCAUGUUUUUCAAUUUGCCAUGCUAGCUUCUGCAUUGAUAUGGGCCGAAGAAAACUGGGUCAGCCAACAAGUUAUUUCAGUCCAACCGAUUCAAGCUAUCCAUCCUCAACACACAGUUUCAGUGUUGGAUCUUCUCCUGGACCCAUUCCAACAAGAUGUCUCUCCUGCUCUACCCCCAAGGCCCAAAAGGGGGACUGGGAAGUUGAUUUUGUUGGAUUCAGAAAUACGGAGAAGUGAAAGAAUUAACAAUCUUUCUGAUGGAUUUAUGUCCCCUGACCCAAAUUUGGGUGUGGGAAAGCCAAGGGGAAAGGCUAGGGCAAAGAGCUCCAAGAAGCUUAAAAUGCUGGCUCAAGAAAGUGGUAUCUUGCUCUCUCUCAACCCUUUGCCUUUGGAACUUAAUGAUCGUAUUGCUUAAGAUGAUGAGA
rnacentral:lncRNA from 1 species